AGCGGCGAACGGGUGAGUAACACGUAGGUGAUCUGCCCAUCAGACGGGGACAACGAUUGGAAACGAUCGCUAAUACCGGAUAGGACGAAAGUUUAAAGGUGCUUCUGGCACCGCUGAUGGAUGAGCCUGCGGCGCAUUAGCUAGUUGGUAGGGUAAAGGCCUACCAAGGCGACGAUGCGUAGCCGACCUGAGAGGGUGAACGGCCACACUGGGACUGGGACACGGCCCAGACUCCUACGGGAGGCAGCAGUAGGGAAUCUUCGGCAAUGGGCGAAAGCCUGACCGAGCAACGCCGCGUGAAUGAUGAAGGCCUUCGGGUUGUAAAAUUCUGUUAUAAGGGAAGAACGACUUUAGUAGGAAAUGGCUAGAGUGUGACGGUACCUUAUGAGAAAGCCACGGCUAACUACGUGCCAGCAGCCGCGGUAAUACGUAGGUGGCGAGCGUUAUCCGGAAUUAUUGGGCGUAAAGAGCGCGCAGGUGGUUGAUUAAGUCUGAUGUGAAAGCCCACGGCUUAACCGUGGAGGGUCAUUGGAAACUGGUCGACUUGAGUGCAGAAGAGGGAAGUGGAAUUCCAUGUGUAGCGGUGAAAUGCGUAGAGAUAUGGAGGAACACCAGUGGCGAAAGGCGGCUUCCUGGUCUGUAACUGACACUGAGGCGCGAAAGCGUGGAAGCAACAGAUUAGAUACCCUGGUAGUCCACGCCGUAACGAUGAGUGCUAAGUGU
rnacentral:rRNA from 1 species